rnacentral:rRNA from 1 species
UACGGUUGGGGUAAGCGUUGUUCGGAAUUACUGGGCGUAAAGGGCUCGUAGGCGGCCAACUAAGUCAGACGUGAAAUCCCUCAGCUUAACUGGGGAACUGCGUCUGAUACUGGAUGGCUUGGAUUUGGGAGAGGGAUGCGGAAUUCCAGGUGUAGCGGUGAAAUGCGUAGAUAUCUGGAGGAACACCGGUGGCGAAGGCGGCAUCCUGGACCAACAUUGACGCUGAGGAGCGAAAGCCAGGGGAGCAAACGGG